AAGGAAGUGGCAGAGUGGCUAUGUGGCUGGCUUGAAACCAGCAUAUGGGGGUUCAAUUCCUCCCUUCCUCG
rnacentral:tRNA from 1 species